rnacentral:rRNA from 1 species
CCUACGGGAGGCAGCAGUAGGGAAUAUUGCUCAAUGGGGGAAACCCUGAAGCAGCGACGCCGCGUGGACGAUGAAGGUUUUCGGAUUGUAAACUCCUUUUGUUAGAGAAGAUAAUGACGGUAUCUAACGAAUAAGCACCGGCUAACUCCGUGCCAGCAGCCGCGGUAAUACGGAGGGUGCAAGCGUUACUCGGAAUCACUGGGCGGAAAGAGCGCGUAGGCGGGAUAGCAAGUCAGAUGUGAAAUCCUAUGGCUUAACCAUAGAACUGCAUUUGAAACUGUUAUUCUAGAGUAUGGGAGAGGUAGGUGGAAUUCUUGGUGUAGGGGUAAAAUCCGUAGAGAUCAAGAGGAAUACUCAUUGCGAAGGCGACCUGCUAGAACAUAACUGACGCUGAUGCGCGAAAGCGUGGGGAGCAAACAGGAUUAGAUACCCUUGUAGUC